rnacentral:rRNA from 1 species
UAGCCAGACUCCUACGGGAGGCAGCAGUGGGGGAUAUUGCACAAUGGGGGAAACCCUGAUGCAGCGACGCCGCGUGGGUGAAGGAGCACUUCGGUGCGUAAAGCCCUAUCGGCAGGGAAGAAAAGGGGGAAACCCCAGACGGUACCUGACUAAGAAGCCCCGGCUAACUACGUGCCAGCAGCCGCGGUAAUACGUAGGGGGCAAGCGUUAUCCGGAUUUACUGGGUGUAAAGGGAGCGUAGACGGACUUGCAAGUCUGAUGUGAAAAUCCGGGGCCCAACCCCGGAACUGCAUUGGAAACUGUAUAUCUAGAGUGUCGGAGAGGCAAGUGGAAUUCCUGGUGUAGCGGUGAAAUGCGUAGAUAUAUGGAGGAACACCAGUGGCGAAGGCGGCUGUCUGGCCUGUAACUGACGCUGAGGCACGAAAGCGUGGGGAGCAAAUAGGAUUAGAUACCCUCGUAUA